rnacentral:rRNA from 1 species
GACAAGUACGGAAUCGAGGACCGAAAGGCCUGCGCCAGCGAUGGCCGGUUGCGAGGUGCUGCAUGGUUGUCGUCAGCUCGUGCCGUGAGGUGUCGGGUUAAGUCCCAUAACGAGCGCAACCCCUACUGCUAGUUGCCAGCGGGUUAUGCCGGGGACUCUAGCGGAACUGCCAGCGUAAGCUGCGAGGAAGGUGGGGAUGACGUCAAAUCAGCACGGCCCUUACGUCCAGGGCUACACACGUGUUACAAUGGCCAGUACAGAGGGCAGCCACCCCGCGAGGGGCGCUAAUCCUAAAAGCUGGUCCCAGUUCGGAUCGGAGUCUGCAACUCGACUGCGUGAAGUCGGAAUCGCUAGUAAUCGUGAAUCAGAAUGUCACGGUGAAUACGUUCCCGGGCCUU